rnacentral:rRNA from 2 species
CCUACGGGAGGCAGCAGUGGGGAAUAUUGCGCAAUGGACGAAAGUCUGACGCAGCGACGCCUCGUGAGGGACGAAGGUCUUCGGAUUGUAAACCUCUUUCAGCAGGGACGAAGCGAAAGUGACGGUACCUGCAGAAGAAGCACCGGCUAACUAUGUGCCAGCAGCCGCGGUAAUACAUAGGGUGCAAGCGUUGUCCGGAUUUAUUGGGCGUAAAGAGUUCGUAGGCGGUUUUUCGCGUCGGAUGUGAAAACUCAGGGCUCAACCCUGAGCCUGCAUUCGAUACGGGAAGACUCGAGGACGGCAGGGGAGACUGGAACUUCUGGUGUAGCGGUGGAAUGCGCAGAUAUCAGAAAGAACACCAAUGGCGAAGGCAGGUCUCUGGGCCGAUCCUGACGCUGAGGAACGAAAGCGUGGGGAGCAAACAGGAUUAGAUACCCUGGUAGUCCACGCCGUAAACUAUGGACGCUAGGUGUGGGGGACAUUCCACGUUCUCUGCGCCGCAGCUAACGCAUUAAGCGUCCCGCCUGGGGAGUACGACCGCAAGGUUAAAACUCAAAGGAAUUGACGG